rnacentral:rRNA from 1 species
UACGAAGGGUGCAAACGUUGUCCGGAAUUAUUGGGCGUAAAGAGCUCGUAGGCGGUUUGUCGCGUCUGCCGUGAAAGCCCGGGGCUCAACUCCGGAUCUGCGGUGGGUACGGGCAGACUAGAGUGAUGUAGGGGAGACUGGAAUUCCUGGUGUAGCGGUGAAAUGCGCAGAUAUCAGGAGGAACACCGAUGGCGAAGGCAGGUCUCUGGGCAUUAACUGACGCUGAGGAGCGAAAGCAUGGGGAGCGAACAGG